GGUUAAGCGACUAAGCGUACACGGUGGAUGCCCUGGCAGUCAGAGGCGAUGAAGGGCGUGCUAAUCUGCGAUAAGCGCCGGUAAGGUGAUAUGAACCGUUAUAACCGGCGAUACCCGAAUGGGGAAACCCAGUGUGACUCGUCACACUAUCAUUAACUGAAUCCAUAGGUUAAUGAGGCGAACCGGGGGAACUGAAACAUCUAAGUACCCCGAGGAAAAGAAAUCAACCGAGAUUCCCCCAGUAGCGGCGAGCGAACGGGGAGGAGCCCAGAGCCUGAAUCAGCAUGUGUGUUAGUGGAAGCGUCUGGAAAGGCGCGCGAUACAGGGUGACAGCCCCGUACACAAAAGCGCAUGUGCUGUGAGCUCGAUGAGUAGGGCGGGACACGUGGUAUCCUGUCUGAAUAUGGGGGGACCAUCCUCCAAGGCUAAAUACUCCUGA
rnacentral:rRNA from 1 species